rnacentral:tRNA from 1 species
GCGAGGAUAGCUCAAUUGGGAGAACGUCAGAUUGAAGAUCUAAAGGUCGCGUGUUUGAUCCAUGCUCAUCGUA